UUUUCUGCUGAGCUACCUGAAGGUUUCU
rnacentral:piRNA from 1 species